CACCCAACUUCAUAGAAACUGCUCAUCCAUCUGUCAAGUGAAGACUUGGGAGAAGUUAACUAAAAUCAUGUACUGCCAUUUUACUUCACUGUACUGACACAGUGUGUGUCGUGGAUAAAGGCUGAUACGCCAUGACAGCCUCUCUUGUGCUGUUUUUGGCAUUUGCUGAUGCUGCCGAAGGCAUUGUUCUGUUUUGGACUAGAAUGCUCCGCUGUUUUUCUUCUCCACCGCUCAAAUGAGGCAUGGUGUGGCAUAUACUGUGCACAGAGGUUGGCAACACUUUCUGGCACCAGAAUGGAAGGACAAAGCUCAAGAUGAAGGCAGGCCAGUGCCAGAACCCAGCUACUUUUCCCCAAUGUCUAGCCAUGGCAUGCAGAAAGACCCAUGCCACCUGAAAAAGAACAGCUGUACCAAAACUGAGCAGAAGAUUCACACCUUCUCUUAAAAACAUCUGUUUAACCAUUGCACACAGGUAAGGAGAUCUAAUCAUUGGAAUUGGAACUGAGCAUCAGGAGACCUGCAUUCUGAAUCUGACUAUCGGUCAGAUGCAUCUUUGCAUAAAUCAUAAACCUUAUUCGAACAUCAGAAAAGAAGGGGAUAACAUUAUUCUGCAAUAGGGCAUUUAUGCUAGAGCCAAGUAAGUACUGUAUUUGUUGCAUCCAAUAUGUACCUUUCUUCCCCAAAUCAACCCCCAAAAUUGGGGUGCAUGUAUUAAGUGGGGAAUCUGAUUUCCAGCCUGAGAUAGUCACCCUGCUUUGAUCCCCUCUCCAUAGUACAGCAGCUGUUGCAUUACCAUUCAGGCAGCUGAAGGAAUCAGCUAAUGUAAUAGCUUAUUGUUCUUCACUCCAGCAGUCUUAAUGAUUGUCUCUCCUCUUUAAAGAUCUUGAUAUUCCAUUAAUGAAGCUAACCUUUCUUAGGGCAAGUUAGUUGUCUGCUAGCUGCUUCCAGUCCCUUUACUCCUAUUUUACAGACUUAGAUAGUCCUUAGCUCUUCUGAAAGUCACAGAUCUACCCAUGGAGGGCAGUCUUUAGCAUUAGCUCAGGUUUCAGAUUUAGCUGAGCAGUAAAUGGAGGGUGUGUCAGGUCAUGAUUAAGCUCUGUCCUCGCUCUAUCCAACCAUAACUCUGGAAAAAUCUUUUCUCUUCAUUCUGCCUUUCAAAAACAAGGUAUGUACUAUAUUCCAAGGCAUGCUGUAUAGAAGAGAAUAUGGUAGCUUCAUUUUGG